UGGGGAAUAUUGGACAAUGGGCGAAAGCCUGAUCCAGCCAUGCCGCGUGUGUGAAGAAGGCCUUUUGGUUGUAAAGCACUUUAAGCGAGGAGGAAGCUACUUAGAUUAAUACUCUAGGAUAGUGGACGUUACUCGCAGAAUAAGCACCGGCUAACUCUGUGCCAGCAGCCGCGGUAAUACAGAGGGUGCGAGCGUUAAUCGGAUUUACUGGGCGUAAAGCGUGCGUAGGCGGCUUUUUAAGUCGGAUGUGAAAUCCCUGAGCUUAACUUAGGAAUUGCAUUCGAUACUGGGAAGCUAGAGUAUGGGAGAGGAUGGUAGAAUUCCAGGUGUAGCGGUGAAAUGCGUAGAGAUCUGGAGGAAUACCGAUGGCGAAGGCAGCCAUCUGGCCUAAUACUGACGCUGAGGUACGAAAGCAUGGGGAGCAAACAGG
rnacentral:rRNA from 1 species